CCGCCGCAGCCGCCCGCCCGCGGAUCCCGGAGCCGCCGGCCCCCGCAGAGGACCGACUGCCCAGACUGCGGGUCCCGGGGCUCCCUGGGCGGGGCCGAUCCCAGGGAGCCCCCCUGACUGCCUCCCAGAGCAGGGUGGGGAAAGGGAUCUUAGCCCGCCGCCGCCUCCGAGCGGGCCGCCAGCACAUUCUUAAGGAGAGCCAAGCCAGGAAACCACACUCUGAUGAGUUUCACGUCCAUGACAGGCAAAUUGGUAAGCUUGGUAUUAAAUUGUUGCUAAUUAUUAAUGCAACUAAGAACCACUUGGGGAAAAGCACACCCUGUCUCUUGAAGCCUGUCUUAUAACCAAUCACCGAAUCAGGGUGAAGGGGGGUAUCAGGACCCAUGUGGGUGGAUCACUAGCCCGAGGCAGGCUUCUUAACAAAACCUUAAUCAACUUAUUUAAAAAUAAUAACAGCUGUCACGAGUUGAGCACCUCCCGACGUUAGACAACAUAACAACAUAACAAGCAGUAGAUCGUUGGAGCCUGUUAACCCGGGGCAACCUCCUGUGAUCGCUUUGCCCAUUGCACAAGAUGAUGGGAUUCAGUGAGAUGACCCAGCUUAAAUGCGCGGCACAGUCGCUUAAUAAAGGCCCAAUAAAUGUCACCAGAUGAAAAAAAUCAUAGCUAAAUGGCUAUUCGUCAUUCUUUUAUGAUGGGUAAUAAUAAUAGCAACUAACAUAAUUUGGCGUUCAAUAUUAAUUUAAUGUCACUCAUUUCUGAGACACAGCGGUUUUUCUUAAGUGCUUUACAAGCAUGAACCCGUUUCGUCUUUACAACAAUCCCGUGCAGUAGGUACUGUUACCAUCCUCGUUCUCAGAGAAGGAAACGGCACCAAGAGGUUGAGUGAUGUGACCUCGGUCACAUAACCACCUAGCGGCGGAGCCAGAACUUGAACCCAGGCUGGCCAGGAUCCAGCCACAAGGUGUUCAUCGCUAGGCAGUUCUGCCCCGAUGGAGAAAAUGCAGUGAGUUUCUCAGUAGGUCUUGAGCCCCAUCACUGAGUUCUUGCUAAAUAAAGGUGUUUCACCUUGCCGUGCCUCAGUUUCCUCAUCUGUGGAGUGGGUUUCUUUUUUUUUUUUUUAAUUUUUUUUUUCAACG
rnacentral:lncRNA from 1 species